ensembl:lncRNA
UGGCAUGAAAUGGAACUGUUAAAUUAUGUGCAAUGGCUAAAGCUGGCUUCUCUAGGGCCUCUGCAUGAUGAAUCAACACUCAGGGUGGGGACAGACAGCCCAUCUCAGUAUGGAGUGUAGUUCACAAUGCAUGUAGAACGAUCAUCUCAUCAUGGUAACUUUUCUCUUGUGACAGGUAGGUCUACAUUUGCUAAUAUAAAGACAGAAUGCGCAUCUAAUUUACCCAUCUCCAUCUGGCUUUCGGGGGUCACCUUGUUUUGUUAUUUUAAAGAGUCUGUUUUUUUAUUGCAGCUGCAGAGUUUUAAAACAGCCUAUCACUGGAAUAUCGUUGCUUUAUCGGGCAUGCACAAACACUCUCUGUCUUUCUCUCGCUCCAUCAACUUAAAAUAUAUAGCCUUAUAUAGAGAUGUCCUAUCUCUUUCAGGUAAUACAUUCAAUGCAUUAGCCUUAUAUUUAGCUAAUUAAUGAUGGGUUAUGCACAAUAAGUUUCUAACUUAUAGCUUCUGUCUCUUGCGCAAUACACACAUACCUGUGCUUUGCUGGCCUCUCUCCUUAAAAAGUGCUCCUUAGCUCUUGGAGUCCCAUGCAGGAAAAGCUGGACUAGAAUAUUGGUAUUGGUAUUUCUUAUACCAAUAGACUAUUCGAAGAGGGACUCAAGCUCUUUUUUUGCUGAAUGUUAAAUACAGCCGCCAAUAGAACUCGCCGGUAGAUGGAAAGAAGAGUGAACGCGCACAACGGCAGUAGGCUAAAGCAGUUAUUUAUUCAGACCCAUAACCAUUCAAUCUUCGUGAAGAGAAGUGAAAGCCUUCUGCAUCUAAUUUUAGUCUAAUAUUAUUCAAGGAUGUCAUCAGAAUGACAACAAAAUGUAUUUCAUUUAACUGUUGAAAGCGAGGAAUGAAUGAAGCAACAAUAGAGAGAGAAAGAGGAGGUAGGCUAAUAACAUUAAGGGAAAUAUUAUGAAAGGUGUAUAUACAUCAGCCUACUAAUUAUACAAAUAGGGCCUAUUAUAUUUAAAAAUUCAAAUCAAAUUGUGUGCAUGUGCUGCACUAGAAACGCAUGUUCUCUUCUGCUCUAUCAUGAUGUUAUUCCAGUCAAUAUAAAACAACACAGUACAGUAAUACAGUUCACACUAAAAAAAACAAAGCUUACUGGAGCUAGUUUAAUUUAUUUACCCAAGAGAUCAUAUAUCUAGCUACAUCUAUGGGGUUUUAAGUUUUUAUGAUGUGCAUAAUGUGCAGUAGCCUAUAUCAUAUAUGUAUUGGAUAACGACACAAUCAUUUGAGCUAUUUGGGGCUUGGGCUCAUUAAAUGUUGUUAAUGUAGGGCUCCUAAAAUGUACUUAAUAUAUGGCUCAUUAGGCUCAGGUAGCAUCAGGUCUGAAUGUUCAUGCUGAUCAAAGCCCUAAUCAAAUCCAGACAUAUGUAUAUGCUUUUGAAUGACACACCGAAUUACCUGGGAGAAAAGUGAUAUAAUCUCAGGCUGGAACAUUUGUAAAAUACUUGGAAAAUAUUCAACCCUAGUGCGCACACACCCCAACACCCUGGAGGUAUUAACAUCCUGGGAGAGAGACAGGUAAACCAGAGAUCUCCAUGAGGACCAGAACAGAACCACAGUGCCAGAUCUGUCUGUCUGUCCCAGUGGGCCUGUCACAAACAUGGCUGUCCCUCCCUCCCUGACUUCCUCCUCUCCUCCUGUGGUUACAUCACAGCUGCCCAUAUGUCCCACUUCCCUCAUAUAACCUGGAACACAGCUGUCCCCAAUAUGAUCCUCAGCACGACCCACUGCAGCAAAGAGUUGAGACAGAGAGACACUAGAUUAAGAAGAACAUAGUCAUAGUGUGUGUAGGAGGGAGAGUGUGAAUGUGUAGGUUGAUAAGCUGCAUGAUAUUGUGGGCAUGAGGAGGAGUGUGAGUAAGAGGCAAGAGGCCGUAUGUGUGUCAUACUUGGCAUUUGUCCGAGUUUAUAUGAAUUAAUGACACAUCUAGCUACUGGUCAACCUGAGUGUGCUGUGGAAAUGUAGGAUGUGUGUGUGUGCGUUAGGGCCGGGACGAUACCAGUAUCGCGAAACGUGUUAGUAUCAUGGCAAGGAAACAAAAUAUGACGCAGAUUUAACUUCUUUAGGAAAACAGCCCUAAUGUUGGAAACAAACAUCAUUAUUUUGUCCUCCAGAGUCAAAUUGUUGUAUUUUUUAAAGCUAUAGCACACAAUAGUUUACAUACAGCAUUAAAAAAAAAGAGUUUAGUCUGCUGUCACACCCUGAUCUGUUUCACCUGUUCCUGUGAUUGUCUCCACCCCCUCCAGGUGUCGCUUAUUUUCCCCAGUGUAUUUAUCCCUGUGUUUCCUGUCUCUCUGUGCCAGUUCGUCUUGCAUGUUUAGUCAAGUCAACCAGCGUGUUUUUCCCGUACUCCUUUCCUAUUCUCUUUUUAUAAUCCUUCCGGUUCUGACCCCUGCCUGGCUCUGGACUGCUUUUGUGCCUGCCUGAUCAUCCUGCCUGCCCUGACCUUGAUUCUGCCUGCCCUUCGGUACCCAUUGGUAUUAGCCUGUCCACGACUAUUCUCUUGCCUACUCCUUUGGAUUAAUAAACAUUGUAAUACUCCAACCAUCUGCCUCCUGUGUCUGCAUCUGUGCCAUGAUAUCUGCUUUGUGUUUUCAUUUUUGCCAUGGAAGAAAUAAUGCGAUACUGGUAUCAUCCCAGCCCUACUGUGUGUGUACAGUGUGUGUGAGCACCCUACUGUGUGUGUACUGUACGGUGUGUGUGAGCCCUAAUCAAAUCAAAUUGAUUUCUAUAGCCCUUCUUACAUCAGCUGAUAUCUCAAAGUGCAGGUGUAGAAGCAUGGGGGCUGGGAAAAACUCCCCAGAAAGGCAAAAACCUAGGAAGAAACCUAGAGAGGAACCAGGCUAUCAGGGGUGGCCAGUCCUCUUCUGGCUGUGCCGGGUAGAGAUUAUAACAGAACAUGGCCAAAAUGUUCAAAUGUUCAUAAAUUACCAGCAUGGUCAAAUAAUAAUAAUCACAGUAGUUGUCGAGGGUGCAACAGGCCAGCACCUCAGGAGUAAAUGUCAGUUGGCUUUUCAUAGCCGAUCAUUAGGAGUAUCUCUACCGCUCCUGCUGUCUCUAGAGUUGAAAACAGCAGGUCUGGGACAGGUAGCACGUCCGAUGAACAGGUCAGGGUUCCAUAGACGCAGGCAGAACAGUUGAAACUGGAGCAGCAGCACGGCCAGGAGGACUGGGGGCAGCAAGGAGUCAUCAGGCCAGGUAGUCCUGAGGCAUGGUCCUAGGGCUCAGGUCCUCCGAGAGAUAGAAAGAGAUAAUUAGAGAGAGCAUACUUAAAUUCACACAGGACACCGGAUAAAACAGGAGAAGUACUCCAGAUAUAACAAACUGACCAUAGCCCCCUGACACAAACUACUGCAGCAUAAAUACUGGAGGCUGAGACAGGAGGGGUCAGGAGACACUGUGGCCCCAUCCGAUGAUACCCCCGGAUAGGGCCAAACAGGAAGGAUAUAACCCCACCCACUUUGCCAAAGCACAGCCACCACACCACUAGAGGGAUAGCGUCAACCACCAACUUACCAUCCUGAGACAAGGCCGAGUAUAGCCCACAAAGAUCUCCGCCACGGCACAACCCAAGGGGGGGGCGCCAACCCAGACAGGAAGAUCACGUCAGUGACUCAACCCACUCAAGUGUGUACGGUGUGUGUGAGCCCUACUGUGUGUGUACUGAACGGUGUGUGUUUGUGCAUGGCACAUGUGCUUGUAUCACAUGGGUGCUUGUCACCAGCUGGUCAUCAGCAGAGAGCUCCAGUACAGAGAAGACAGAUGGGGCUCAUCUAUAAGAGAGCAGCAGAGACUCUGCACAGAUCUACUGGACUGGAAAACACUGGGACAUUUGGUUGAAAGAAUAUAACUUUCUCUAUAUUGCUCUCUGCAGCUCCUUCACUGACUGAAUGUGUUGUGAUCUCUCCAUCUCUACCCAUUCCUCUUGCUGGCCCCUCAACACCAGACAGCCUGUGUUUGUUAUAGUUCCUUCUCUUUCCCAGCUCUAUUCUGCCCCCAGUGGCGGCAGCAGAUCUAGAGCAGACAACCAGGGGUUCCACCCACUACCCAACUCCUACCGCAGUGUCAGAGCCAGUACAACACCCCUGCAUCUCCCCUCCACUUCCCCAACACUAGCACCUGACAACCCUCUAGUCUGGAGGACUGCAGACAGUGUUCCUCUCCUGUCCAUUCUGUCCUCUUUCCUUCUCCUCUCUGAUUUCCCUUCUCUCGCUCCCUCCUCUGCUGUCGCUUUCGCUCUGCCUGCUGUACAUGUGUGAGGGAAUGCCAGGCCAGACUGGUAAAAUGGACCAGCACAUACAGUACUUCAGCACCCAGCAGCCUACAGUAUUACAGCUGGCAGGACUGGAUCAGCUCAGACCUGUCUGCACUCUGCACUGCCCCACAGUGGAGUCAAUGGAGUGUGUGGUGAGAGGAUGAGAGAGAGGGGCCCAUAGGGAGGACAGAGAGAGAGUGAAGAAUUAAGUGUUUACUAAGGAGAAAACAUGAGACAGAGAGGGGGAAAAGAGUAAAGUGUAGAGAGAGGAGGAGGAUACACACCUGAGGAGGGGCAAAAGGGCGAGCCAGUCAGCUGAUUCUAUUAUUCACCUACACAUGAGUGUUCAGCUUCCAAUAAAAAUUUGGAGAAAAAAAAUGACAAACUUAUCUUGAAGUCAUUAUGCAGUGAGGACAGCUUUAUGAGCCAUUUUAACUUUAACUUAACAAUGAAAGCUCAAUAAAUUAACAAUGUAACUUCAGAGGGUAGUGCUUCAUCAUAACACAUUUUCAUCAACAUCUUUCAAACAGCAUAUUUAGGACACACAGCAGAGGCACAAACACCCCAAUCUAACUCAAACAGCAUAUUUAGAACAGGUAGCUGAGCCCACUGUAGGAGGGAAAGGGAACAAAUCAAAGUUGUGUUCAAAUUAUUUAGCAGACUUCUGAGUAUUUUUCAAAAUGGCAAAACAUCUCAGACCCUUCCCUUACACCUAAAACACAGCUCAAGAUGUUUUGGCCAAUUUUCUUAUGAAAGAAAUAUCCUCAUUUUCCAAGAUGGGAAAAAUGUCAGAGAAAGCAUGAAAUAGUGUGAAUGACUGAGUGUGGGUUAUUCCACUGAAGUAACCUCCUAAUGUCUCGUUAUAACACAUAGCGCCAGAGGCAUCACUGGCAACACAUUGACCUUUACAUCAUUGCCAUUAGUGUUGUUGAGGUUGUGAAAAUAUCUGUAUUACACAGUUGAGUUAAAGGUCAAUAUCAUUUGAUGAAAUAUCAUUUGUAAUAGUUCCUUCUCUUUCCCAACUCUAUUUUAUAUAAAAAAAAUAUAUAUAUAUAUAUUUCACCUUUAUUUAACCAGGUAAGCCAGUUGAGAACAAGUUCUCAUUUACAACUGCGACCUGACAAAGAUAAAGCAAAGCAGUGCGACACAAACAACAACACAGAGUUACACAUGGAAUAAAGAAGCGUAGUCAAUAACACAACAGAAAAAAAGAAAGUCUAUAUACAGUGUGUGCAAAUGGCGUGAGGAGGUAAGGCAAUAAAUAGGCCAUAGUAGUGAAGUAAUUACAAUUUAGCAAAUGUCCCCCUGCUUAAGCCAAUACAUGUCCAGGCCCGUCUGAAGUUUGCUAGAGAGCAUUUGGAUGAUCCAGGAGAAGAUUGGGAGAAUGUCAUAUGGUCAGAUGAAACCAAAAUAUAACUUUUGGUAAAAACUCAACUCGUCGUGUUUGGAGAACAAAGAAUUGGGUAUGGAAAUCUCAGAAUUUUUGGUGGCCUUCCUAAGCCAGGAUUCACACUGCUAGAUGUGAAUGUGAAAUCCUCUAUAAUUUCCACUCUCUGUACUCUAGGAGAGGCUACCUGAAGGGAAGGUGGGGUACGGUGGAGCUAAGCGACCAUCAUAGCCUCCAGAGCAUCCACUGGUAGGGAGAAGGUCACAUAUCAUAAUCACACACACACAUCUACACACAAACAACCACACAAACCAGAGCAACACCCAGUCCACUCUAGGAGGAACACAUUUAUGUUCAUGUGCCUCUGAUUAGACUUUUCAUCUUCAUCUUUUGAUAAUUCAGUACUGUAUCUAUUUUAAACCUGGAUGGACAUAACAGCAGAAUAACUGCUACAGUAUACAAUUGAACGUUCCAUGGGAAAUUAAAAACAGGAUUGUGGUGGUCCUUGAUAGCUGGAGUUGGUCUAGGAUUUUGUUGUCUAAUGGUCUAAUAGGCCACGUAGACCUUAUGUUCAGUUCACCCCUCAAACCUCUGGUUGACACCACACGUGGCCGAAUAUUGGCUCACUCACACAUUCUACAACACAUAUGGAAAACUUGAGGCAAACAUUCACUUCAUAGAUAAAUUUAGAACAAAUAGAGUCUAACAAUUGGACUGAGAGUAGCCAGUCAGCCUUUGGCAGUCAGAACACACAACGCAGGAAGUCAUUCAUUUUAAUGUGCGAUACAAGAAAGGAGAAUAAACUCAAGGAGUUCCAUUUCCCUCCUGUUUGAUGUGACUGGCUCGUUGUCAAGGCGCAGCACAUGCC